rnacentral:rRNA from 1 species
CCUACGGGAGGCAGUAGUGAGGAAUAUUGGUCAAUGGCCGCAAGGCUGAACCAGCCAAGUCGCGUGAGGGAUGACGGUCCUAUGGAUUGUAAACCUCUUUUGUCAGGGAGCAAAGGGCGCCACGUGUGUCGUUUUGCGAGUACCUGAAGAAAAAGCAUCGGCUAACUCCGUGCCAGCAGCCGCGGUAAUACGGAGGAUGCGAGCGGUAUCCGGAGUUAUUGGGUUUAAAGGGUGCGCAGGCGGAAUGUCAAGUCAGCGGUAAAAUUUCGGGGCUCAACCCCGUCGUGCCGUUGAAACUGGCGUGCUUGAGUGAGCGAGAAGUAUGCGGAAUGCGUGGUGGAGCGGUGAAAUGCGUAGAUAUCACGCAGAACUCCGAUGGCGAAGGCAGCAGACCGGCGCUCAACUGACGCUCAUGCACGAAAGCGUGGGUAUCGAACAGGAUUAGAUACCCCGGUAGUC